rnacentral:rRNA from 1 species
AUUGAACGCUGGCGGCAUGCUUUACACAUGCAAGUCGAACGGUAACAGGCCUUCGGGUGCUGACGAGUGGCGAACGGGUGAGUAAUGCAUCGGAACGUGCCCAGAGGUGGGGGAUAACGCAGCGAAAGCUGUGCUAAUACCGCAUGUGAUCUGAGGAUGAAAGCGGGGGACCAGGCAGCAAUGUUUGGCCUCGCGCCUUUGGAGCGGCCGAUGUCAGAUUAGGUAGUUGGUGGGGUAAAGGCCUACCAAGCCGACGAUCUGUAGCUGGCCUGAGAGGACGACCGGCCACACUGGGACUGAGACACGGCCCAGACUCCUACGGGAGGCAGCAGUGGGGAAUUUUGGACAAUGGGCGCAAGCCUGAUCCAGCAAUGCCGCGUGCGGGAAGAAGGCCUUCGGGUUGUAAACCGCUUUUGUACGGAACGAAAAGGCUCUGGCUAAUACCUGGGGCUGAUGACGGUACCGUAAGAAUAAGCACCGGCUAACUACGUG